GCCGGUGCACGCAAGUACACCUAUGAACAGGGGAUCUUUCAAACGGGGGUUACGGGUUCGAGUCCCGUAGUCGGCUCCA
rnacentral:tRNA from 1 species